UUAUCUUCCAACUUGAUCAUUUUCCCCAAACUAGUAGUUUCAUCAUGCUCAAUGGCCAACUUUGCAUCAUUAUAGGAGACAAAUGAAGAAAGUCCUUUCCUCGAAGGUUCAACAAUAGAUAAGGCUUGGAACGGAGUCCCAACCUCAUCCUCAGCAUCAAUAUAGGAAAAUGAAGAUAAAUGACUGACCAAGAGAGCCUUCUCU
rnacentral:lncRNA from 1 species